rnacentral:rRNA from 1 species
UGCAAGUCGAGGGGUAGAGUUAGCUUGCUAGCUUGAGACCGGCGCACGGGUGCGUAACGCGUAUGCAACCUACCUUAAUCAGGGGGAUAGCCCGAAGAAAUUCGGAUUAACACCGCAUAAAAUCACAGAAUAGCAUUAUUCAAUGAUCAAAUAUUUAUAGGAUUAAGAUGGGCAUGCGUGUCAUUAGCUAGUUGGCGGGGUAACGGCCCACCAAGGCGACGAUGACUAGGGGAUCUGAGAGGAUGACCCCCCACACUGGUACUGAGACACGGACCAGACUCCUACGGGAGGCAGCAGUAAGGAAUAUUGGUCAAUGGAGGCAACUCUGAACCAGCCAUGCCGCGUGCAGGAAGACUGCCCUAUGGGUUGUAAACUGCUUUUAUCUGGGAAUAAACCUAUUUACGUGUAGAUAGCUGAAUGUACCAGAAGAAUAAGGAUCGGCUAACUCCGUGCCAGCAGCCGCGGUAAUACGGAGGAUCCAAGCGUUAUCCGGAUUUAUUGGGUUUAAAGGGUGCGUAGGCGGCCUGUUAAGUCAGAGGUGAAAGACGGUAGCUCAACUAUCGCAGUGCCUUUGAUACUGAUGGGCUUGAAUGGACUAGAGGUAGGCGGAAUGAGACAAGUAGCGGUGAAAUGCAUAGAUAUGUCUCAGAACACCGAUUGCGAAGGCAGCUUACUAUGGUUUUAUUGACGCUGAGGCACGAAAGCGUGGGGAUCAAACAGGAUUAGAUACCCUGGUAGUCCACGCCCUAAACGAUGAACACUCGCUGUUGGCGAUACACAGUCAGCGGCUAAGCGAAAGCGUUAAGUG